rnacentral:rRNA from 1 species
GACGAACGCUGGCGGCGUGCCUAAUACAUGCAAGUCGAACGCUUCUUUCCUCCCGAGGGCUUGCACUCAAUUGGAAAGAGGAGUGGCGGACGGGUGAGUAACACGUGGGUAACCUACCCAUCAGAGGGGGAUAACACUGGGAAACAGGUGCUAAUACCGCAUAACAGUUUAUGCCGCAUGGCAUAAGAGUGAAAGGCGCUUUCGGGUGUCGCUGAUGGAGGGAGCCGCGGUGCAUUAGCAGGUUGGUGAGGUAACGGCUCACCAAGGCCACGAUGCAUAGCCGACCUGAGAAGGUGAUCAGCACACUGGGACUGAGACACGGCCCAGACUCCUACGGGAGGCAGCAGUAGGGAAUCUUCGGCAAUGGACGGAAGUCUGACCGAGCAACGCCGCGUGAGUGAAGAAGGUUCUCGGAUCGUAAAACUCUGUUGUUAGAGAAGAACAAGGACGUUAGUAACUGAACGUCCCCUGACGGUAUCUAACCAGAAAGCCACGGCUAACUACGUGCCAGCCGCCGCCGUAA